rnacentral:rRNA from 1 species
CGGUGAUCUAUCCAUGGGCAGGUUGAAGGUUGGGUAACACUAACUGGAGGACCGAACCGACUAAUGUUGAAAAAUUAGCGGAUGACUUGUGGAUGGGGGUGAAAGGCCAAUCAAACCGGGAGAUAGCUGGUUCUCCCCGAAAGCUAUUUAGGUAGCGCCUCGUGAACUCAUCUUCGGGGGUAGAGCACUGUUUCGACUAGGGGGUCAUCCCGACUUACCAACUCGAUGCAAACUGCGAAUACCGAAGAAUGUUAUCACGGGAGACACACGGCGGGUGCUAACGUCCGUCGUGAAGAGGGAACAACCCAGACCGCCAGCUAAGGUCCCAAAGUCAUGGUUAAGUGGGAAACGAAGUGGGAAGGCUCAGACAGCCAGGAUGUUGGCUUAGAAGCAGCCAUCAUUUAAAGAAAGCGUAAUAGCUCACUGGUCGAGUCGGCC